GCCCGGUUAGCUCAAUCGGUAGAGGUACGUUUAAUUCCAGUUCAAUUUCAAGUUGAAAAAUCACUUCUAACAUUCUCCAACAGCGUAAGACUCUUAAUCUUAAGGCUGCGGGUUCAAGCCCCGCAUUGGGCU